rnacentral:rRNA from 1 species
AUGGAUCCGAGGGCUCCAGCCAUCGGGUACUUAACACAACGCCGAGUAGUCGUACGUUUUGAAGAGGAACUUGGCGUCCGAAGGUGUACUUGGCGAAGAACGGUCAUCGUGGAAGUAGUGGUACUUAGGUGUUUCGUUCAGCACUCGUUUGGGCAUCCUUGGUCUUGCCAGCGGUGUGGGUCUCCUUGGGUCAAACAAGAUGUGCCAGACCAGAUUGGCGACGGGGACUUGAAGCAUGGUUCCUGCAGUGCUGGUAACGGCGAAGACGAGUGGAUCCUGGUCGGCCGGCGUUGGAUCCGGGCAAACGGUGGCACGAACGGAGCCCAGGGGCGGAGGGGCUUGAGCGCGGGACGGCGGCCUGGUGGCGUUGGCGCUCCUGCAACAGUUCACGUGAAGGAAGAGCGACGGGGAGGCAUGGGCGAGGAGGUGGACACCAGCAGUGGCAGCUCCGUGGCAGGUGGCCAGGGCCAUGGACGGCGAAGCAGCAUGGCGGCACGCUCGCGGCAGGCUUCUGCAGCCACAGAAGAGGACGAGGCAGGGGCGUCGAGCUCCCAGAGGUGGGAGCUGGUCAUGGUCGCCGGCGAUGGAGGCGGAGCAGAGGAGGCGGUCGAGGCCGGCGCUGGUCAGCACUGCGGCGGCGUCCUGCUGGUGGCCGGCGAUGUGGACAUGGGGCGGCGGAGUCGCAGGUGA